GACGUAGGAUGCGAGCGUUAUUCGGAUUUAUUGGGCGUAAAGCGUGCGUAGGCGGCUGUUUAAGUCUGGUGUUAAAGCUAGGGGCUCAACCCCUGUGAUGCACUGGAUACUGGGCAGCUUGAGUGCGGUAGGGGAAGGUGGAAUUCCGAGUGUGGCGGUGAAAUGCGUAGAUAUUCGGAAGAACACCGGUGGCGAAGGCGACCUUCUGGGCCGCAACUGACGCUGAGGCACGAAAGCCUGGGGAGCGAACGGG
rnacentral:rRNA from 1 species